rnacentral:rRNA from 1 species
UGGUUCAUCAAGUCUUCAAAAAAGAAUAUAUACGAUUGCAUUGCAUAUACUAACGGAUGCGAUCAUACCAGCACUAAUGCACCGGAUCCCAUCAGAACUCCGCAGUCAAGCGUGCUUGGGCGAGAGUAGUACUAGGAUGGGUGACCUCCCGGGAAGUCCUCGUGUUGCAUCCCUCUUUUAUGUUUAACCUUUUUUUUUUUGG